rnacentral:rRNA from 1 species
AUACGGAGGAUGCGAGCGUUAUCCGGAUUUAUUGGGUUUAAAGGGUGCGUAGGCGGUUUGCUAAGCGGGAGGUGAAAUGCCGGCGCUCAACGUCGGAAGUGCCUCCCGAACUGGUGGACUGGAAUGACUCUGCCGUGGGAGGAAUGUGUAGUGCAGCGGAGAAAUGCUUAGAGAUUACACAGAACACCGAUUGCGAAGGCAUCUCACGAAGGGUUGAUUGACGCUGAGGCACGAAAGCGUGGGGAUCAAACAGGAUUAGAUACCCUGGUAGUCCACGCAGUAAACGAUGAUGACUAACCGUCGGCGAUACACAGUCGGUGGCCAAGCGAAAGCGAUAAGUCAUCCACCUGGGGAGUACUUUCGCAAGAAUGAAACUCAAAUGAAUUGGCGGGG